rnacentral:lncRNA from 1 species
CUUAUUCCUUAGGGGGAAAAGGGGUGUGAUAACCAGUUCUACCUCCCUGCUGCGGACUGGUCUAGUUAAACCCUAGAGUUCUUGAACCGGACUUGAAGGAAGAACUCUGAACGCGUGCGGUGAAAGCCUAAGAGAGGCAAACGCUCUGGAGGCAAUUUAAAAAGAAGUGCUCCAAAAUUAUUUUCAUCCAUUCACUCAGGCAACAAGUGUUUAAUGAGCAGCUAAUAUUUUAACAGGUAAGGCAACAUCAGAAUGAUAUCAUAGUUUUUCCAAGAUGAAACAUGGUUAAAAGAAUGGGGUCC